UCCUACGGGAGGCAGCAGUGGGGAAUAUUGCACAAUGGAGGAAACUCUGAUGCAGCGACGCCGCGUGAGUGAAGAAGGUCUUCGGAUCGUAAAACUCUGUCCUUGGUGAAGAUAAUGACGGUAGCCAAGGAGGAAGCCCCGGCUAACUACGUGCCAGCAGCCGCGGUAAUACGUAGGGGGCUAGCGUUGUCCGGAUUUACUGGGCGUAAAGGGUGAGUAGGCGGUUGCAUAAGUCAGAUGUAAAAGGCUAAGGCUUAACCAUAGUAUGCAUUUGAAACUGUGUGACUUGAGUACAGGAGAGGUAAGCGGAAUUCCUAGUGUAGCGGUGAAACGCGUAGAUAUUAGGAGGAACACCAGUGGCGAAGGCGGCUUACUGGACUGUAACUGACGCUGAGUCACGAAAGCGUGGGUAGCAAACAGGAUUAGAUACCCUGGUAGUCCACGCUGUAAACGAUGAGUGCUAGGUGUUGGGUAGCGAUACUCAGUGCCGAAGUAAACACAAUAAGCACUCCGCCUGGGGAGUACGGUCGCAAGACUGAAACUCAAAGGAAUUGACGGA
rnacentral:rRNA from 1 species